CUGGCUCCGGAGGGGCGCAGCGGGCGGGGGCCUGCCUUCUCGGCCCGGGAUCGGAGGGGGGUCUUGGGCCGAGUUGGCUCGGCCGGGCUCUCCAUCGGAUAGGGAACACGCGCGGGCGUGUGUGUGUGUGUGUAUCACUGCAGCAUCCUCUCGUCAAGACACAUGGCAAGUGGCUUGCAUUUAUGACCAUUGCAGUGUCCCAGGGUCAUGUGAUCACCUUUUGAGACCUUCUGACAAGCAAAAUCAACGGGCUGAGAGAGCAUGAUUGGCCCAAGAUCACCAAGCAGAUUUUGUAUCUAAG